AGGACGAACGCUGGCGGCGUGCUUAACACAUGCAAGUCGAGCGGAAAGGCCCUUCGGGGUACUCGAGCGGCGAACGGGUGAGUAACACGUGAGUAACCUGCCCCUAGCUCUGGGAUAGCUCCGGGAAACCGGGAUUAAAUACCAGAUACGACCACUUUAGACAUCUGUCGUGGUGGAAAGGAUUCCGGCUAGGGAUGGGCUCGCGGCCUAUCAGCUUGUUGGUGGGGUAACUGCCUACCAAGGCGACGACGGGUA
rnacentral:rRNA from 1 species